ensembl:lncRNA
UGACAGCUGGCCUGAGGAAGCUGAGGCGGAGCCAGGCUUUUCUGUGUCCGCUGCCCUUGGUCGGCAGGACUAGCAGAGCUCAUGGUCAUUUAAGGUGCUGGCUGGGUCAGACAGCUGGCUGGGUGGCAGGCCACCCGGGGCCAAGAUGGUGCAAGCCUUCCAGGGGGCCAUGGGAGCUAUUUUUAGUGGCCUGGGCUGAUUCCCAAAGCCUGCUGACUAUUUCUGGCAUCAAAAGAUUGCCCUGAAGGAUGUGGAAAAUUUUUAUGUUGAGAAUGUCUGGUUUCCCUUUGGCUAUGCAAGGGCAGAGGAUGGAGACCAGGACAAAGGGCUUGAGGCCUGAGGGCUUCUGGGAAAAUUCACCUGCAGUGAGAGCACGGAAUGGCUGUCCUCCACCUUUUGGAGACUAGCAUGGACUGUUAAAAACACCAGCAUCAUGAUGGGUGACCAUCCCUGCUGGCUUGCCCACAGUAUCCUGGUUUUAGCAUUGGCCACUGGGACAGUCAGUCGCCUGAGUUCCAUUUCAGCCCCAUUUAGCUCCAGAAAUGAAUUAAUACGAAUAAGAAGGAACCACCUGUGUCAUCUUCCAGAAUGUUCACCAUCAUCCUACACAGUAGAGUCAGCCUCAUCUUGUCUGUUGCCUUUUUCUGACUGCUCACCUGUUUCUGCUGGACUCCUGAGAGGAGCCUAAGCUGCGUGGGCACCCUGGCUUCAGAGCUGUGCAAAGACAGUCCUUGUCUAUGGAUCUGCAAGACUGAUGGGCAGGACACAGGGUCCACAAGCAGCCCAGCGGGACAAGGGGACUUAGAUGGGGACACGGGUGUUGGAGCUGCCGCUGGGGAUCCUGUCUGAAAACAUACAACCUUCUGUGUUUUAUUGACUUGUCGGACACAUUCUUACAUCAGUUCCUGGUACACUUAGAGCUUCCGUGUGUAUCUUUUUUUAAAAGGAGAUAUUGAUUUGUUCAUUCGUGAGCAUUUAUUGAGUACCUACUAUGUACAAGCCCUCAGAGGGACAGAAAGAUAAGUAAAACUGUCCCUUGAAUCUUGAAUGCCUCAGAGUCCAGCAAGAGAUAAAGACAAGUAAACCACAGGGAGCCCUGAGUAUGUGCUGUACUGGGAGAUAUACAGGAGAUACAGUAUUUUAUUCUAUCUCACAUGUAAUUUUCUCAUUUAGAAUAUAUUAUUGCUACCACAUUUAUCAUAUAUUAUUUUAGUCACAUAUCUUAAAUAUAUUCUGUUCUCAUCUGGUUUAUAUGUUAAUUAUUUAUAUUAUCUUUGCUUUAAAUGUUAUAAUUUUG